ACGAUCGCACGACCUCACCCCUCCUCCCCGCAGGACCUCUCCCGCCCCCUCCUCCCCGAACGGCUCUCGCCCUCUCCUCCUCCCGCAGCCUCACGCCACUGUUAACCGCAGGAUCCGUCGCGCCGCGCCCGGAGUUGCCUCCCGCAGCCGCCGCCGACGCCGUAACCUCCGCUGCCUAUUCUCCGCUUCACCCCUGUGCCUCCCAACCACCAAGCCGCCGCCGCCUCAUCUUCUCACUGCACGGCCGGGCGACACGGCGAGGCGCGCGGAAGCCAGCUCUUCAGCCGGCGACACGGCGAGGCACGCGGCCGGGCGACAUGGCAAGGCACGCGGGAGCUCUUCGGCCGGCGACACGGCGAGGCGCGUGGAUGGGCGGCACGGUGAGGUGCGUGGGAUGGCCGCUGGUGAACGUGGUCGGACCUGAGACCGUGGCGCGCGCUGCCACCUCGGCCCUCCUCCAGCCUUAUCUCCUACGGAACAGGCUAGUCAUGCAUCGCUACGUACCCACCAUGGCAUCUCUUUCCCUCUCAAUCCAUUCUUCUGUUCUUUGUUUUUCAACUGGAGCAAAAUUCAUCAUACUCUACUUGUGAUUACCUUCAUCAUUGUCACUAAUUUUGGAAGUUUUCAAUACUAACAGCUUCAAGAAUACAUACAAUUACUUUCUUCCUUUAUUUUGUCAACGUCCAAUUUUAGAGCUCUAAUAAAAUCUACAGCAAAGAAGCAACUUAGCCUCUAAAUUUUAUCAAUUAUCCUGACCCAUGUUCAACAAAUACAAAUUCUAGAGCAUUCAUAUUGUACGGUGCAGAUGGCAACAGAAUAUAAAACAAAAGAUAAGUGACAGAAUAGAAAACAAAAGAUGAGUGACAGCAUAUGGUGAUAUGAGUGGAACAAAGAGAUGUCCAGAAUAUGGCAUCAAAUAGUGCGUGAACAAUAACAAGACUAACCACACAUUAUCCUGUUUAAAAAUCCCAGCAAGGAAGAAUGAGACUGUAGUGAAGAGGUUAUAUGCACAAAUAAUAGAUGGAUAGAGGGCAAAUGAGAUACCGACCUGAUAUGUAGGAGUCAUCUAAUCUGUAACAGCUAUGCCUGUCAUCUAUUCUCUAUUAUUUGGUUACAGAUAUACUAAUCGAUGAAAAACAAAUUUUAGCCUUGAUUCCUCUCGAUCUCUCAUGCCAUAGCUAAAGUUCAAAAGGCUACUUCAUCGCUGAUGGCACAACACUGCGCAAAUUAUAGAGUCCAGAUUACUAAGAAAGGAAUGGAUGUACCUCCAUUUGUAACAGAAGAACAUUCCCCGCUUAAGGACCUAAGGAACACAUCUAUGGAUGGGAGUGCAAAUCUCAAGGAUAAUCAAACCAAUAAUCCUAAUACUAAUGAUACUAAAAGGAAAAGUGUUCAAUCAUGGUAUGGUAGAAUGUCAGAUGAGAAGAAAGCGGAAUACAACAUGAAGCGUCGUAUAUCUCGACAACAAAAGAAGGUUGCAACUCUAGACUGUGCUAGCCAGGACCAAUUCUCACAAAAGUUUGUUUCUCUGUUACGGAUAGUACAACCAACCCCUUUCAGCGACAUAAUCAACACACAUACAAAAGGUACAUGUGUGACCUCUACGGCCUCAAUCUCUGCAAAUACACCUCAAAUGCACACUUCAGAUACAUGUGUGACCUCUGCAGCCCCAAUCUCUGCAAAUACACCUCAAACCCCAGCUUCAGCAGGAGCAUCUGCCAACAAACAAGGUGGGAAAACAUGGUAUGCCAACCUAAGCGACGAAAAGAAGGCUGAGCACCUAAGGAAGCUCCGGAUGGCUCGCGAACAGAAGAGAACCGCAGCUCUUGUUCUGAAUGUUGAUGUACCUCAAUCAUCCACGCAGCAAGAUCAACAGUGGUUGGAAGUGCUUCUAAUUGUGGUUACAACAGCAAGGUAAAUCAAUACGUCAUCAAUAACUGGCAUAUUCUUGCAGCAUAUGAAGUUCAAAUAGAGUACAUGAAUUGGACCGAUGAGGCAACAAAGCUGAUGCAUGCUUGGGACAUCAGGUCUGAUGUUAUACCGAGUACCAAACCACAGACACAUGUCGAUGUAUGUUGCCAAAUGUUCUGAAGACAUUUGGCCUCAAACCAAAUGAAAGUCUAUGAUUUUGCCAACAAAGAAUGGUAGGUGCCACAGCUACAAACCAAACAAAGGAGACUUUCCAAUAUCUUGGCCGUGCCCUUUUGGCUUGGCCAUGCCAAUUUUUAUCAGGGAUAAUGGGGUUCAGGAAAAAUAUAUCCAAUGUUAUUCCAUGUAUUAGAUGUAAACUAAGUUUUUGAUGUCUUUAUUUUUUGGUUCUGAUUGUUAUCCUAACAAAACAAGACAGAAUUGUGUAGGUUAAUCAAUAUGAAAGCAUCUUAUCAUAACUGCAGUAUUUAUCAAUGUCUUUGAAAGUUGAUUACACACUUGUUGAAAUGGCCAAUAUAUAAUCUGUUGUCACCAGUCUACAAUACACACCAACUACGGAAGGUGGUGCUUAAGAGAUGACAUCAGAAAAAAAGCACCAAGACCAUUGUCUAUCAAGAUGUCGCAACAUUGAGUAAUUGUGUGUGUUAUUUUAGUGUGAGAGUUUAUUAAUUUUUAGUUGUGUCUUAGCUACUGUUUCAUCUAGUUUAUCAUGGCAAACAUUUGUACCAGUCCCACUUUAUACCAUGUCUUCUUUUAUGAUUAUUGGAUUUCCUUUAGCCCUUCUACAAUUCAGUUAGUCACUGUAAAGUAUCUUCUGUUUCUACAAAUACACAAGUCGGUGUAGUCACACAUUAUCUUCAAUUUUUGUUGUCCAUGUCGCGGCUCUUGGCCAUUGUUGGCAUCAUCAACACUGUGCACCAACGACAAGAGCCCAGUGGUGAACGAGGCCAAGAGAAUCCUGAGAAGCUUCAGCUGAAAGUAGCACUGGAGGUGGUGCCUGGGAGCAGCAAUGUAGGCAGUGGCCUAGAGGAGCGGAAGAGGUGGCUGGGACGAGCACAGGAGGCAGUGGCGCAACGGUCGGGUGCAGCGGGUCCGGGAGAAGUGGAGGAACUGGUGACCGGGAGAAAAAUUGUUGGCGGUGGAUCAGAGGAGGUAAUAACGC